UUCUCCCUCCAUUCGAUUCAGAAAAAAACUACUCAAAUCGAACUUAUGAACAUUUAAAUUUCAGAAGCAAUAACCGAGUCGGCAUAGCCAUGUCUUUCUGACUAUAAGAGCUGGAGCUGCCAAAUGUUGUUUCAAGACUCCUGUAAUAUUACACUGAAAUAAUUUUUUUUUUAAAUUAUCCCACGCCUCACUCAUGGGAUCAUUAUUAUUGCUAGUAGAAACAUAUAAUAUUGCAGUAGUGUGCGCCCCAUGGCGGAGAGAAGCGAUAAUAAACGGCUGAUGUUGGCUUGAAAAUCGAAAAAAAGAGACAGCUAUAAAAAAAA
rnacentral:sRNA from 15 species